GAAAGCCAUGUGCAAUGAAAAAUGCAGGCAUGGCUUGGGGAGGGAUUUUUCCUUGUCUAAAGUAAAAAAAAAAACUAUAAAUAACUUAUUGAGAAUAGAUGAAUUCAGUCAACUAUAU
rnacentral:ncRNA from 1 species